AUGUGUGUGUGUGUGAUUGUGUGCAACAUAACCGGCUUAUUUACAUUAAAUACGCCACAAGGUUACAGUGCAGAUGAGCGUCAUUUUAUCACUCAUUACUUCUCUCUUAUACUGACUGAUGCUCGCGCUCUCCGCUUAUCUCACUGGACUUUUUCUCGAGGAUACAAGACUUCAGAUACUUUCCCCAAAAGCUGACAGUGUGUCCCGGUCCUUGGUAUCUCACAGGUAGGCUCAUGUUAUUUUUACUCCCCCCUCUAACUUCCCCUGAAUACGACCCUUUUAUGUUUUACACACACCACACACACAUGCUCACGCAUACACUUACACAGUCACACUAACACACGGUCAGAGUGCUUGUGCUGUUUAUUCUCCCGGUAAUGAUGUCAUUGCGAUAGUGGAGGAGAGCAAAUGUCUCCUGAUUCCUCCAUUUAACGGCUGGCUGAAUUGGCUGAUAAUGAUAGCAUUGGCGUCUCCAGCCUUACAGACAGAUCAGACCCUGUGAAUUAGCAGCUACUAACCAGAGAGAGAGAGAGAGAGAGAGAGAGAGAGAGAGAGAGCGAGAGAAGAGAGAUGGCAGUACGGAGUAGGAAGGAGGGAGAGAGAGAGAGAGAGAGAGAGAUGUGAAAGAGAGAGAGGGUGAUGUAUUUUAACAUAUCUGUGCUGUGCUCUUGAACAGGCUGUGAGAGAUCUGUGUGUGGCAGUGCUGAUAACUGCCGCUUGAUAUCAGUCAGGGACAUGACCGCCUGUUUGCAAAGCUCUUUAAUGCCUCUGCACGUCUGUCCUGCUACUUUGAACUGAAUCAUGGUCACAUCAGGGCUGUAUCGCUCAAUAUCUGACCUUAAUAUUGGAAUUUCUUUCAGUAGAAUAAAAUAAUAAUUAUUUUUUAAUGUUAUGUUUAAUGUUAUAUUUUUUAAAUGAAUGAUUGUUAAUGAGCUCCAUUUUAUAAAGACACUAAGCAUCUUUUACUUAUUUUCUCAGUGCUUUAGUUGACAUUUUACAGUUUUAUUUUCUAAAUAUGAAUGCAACUUUCACCCAAAAGGCUCUUUGUAAAUAUUUAGUGACUUUAAACAUGCAACCUAUUAAAACGCAAUUUUCCCCUCCUCUAAAAGCUCCAAUAGGGUUUUACAGUUUUUUCUGGUGAUCUUAAAGUAAAUAAAUAGGCCCGGAUGCUAAUAAGCGUUUCAGGCUUUGAACACAUGCCCCUCUGUGACUGUCAACCGCCCUGCACCCUUCUAGCCAUACCAGCACUGCCACAUCUUCAGACCCUUAGUGUCAUAUGAGUAUGCAGGCCCCCCCAACCCCCCCCCCCCGCCACUGGUUGUAUUAUUAUUAUAAUUAUUAUUAUUAUUAUUAUUAUUAUUAUUAUUAUUGUGAUUAUUAUUAUAAAUAAUAGUAUUUAUCUGUGUCUUUUUUUUAUACAAAAAGUUUCACACAGAUUCUUCCCCCCUUUAAUUUAAAUGUUUGAAUAUCAGUGAAAUAGUAUAUUAUAAGAUCAUAAAAGCAUCAGUGGUGUGUUACUGUGUUACAGGGUAUACCUACUUUUGUAUGGAAAUAAUUGCAUUGUUUAAAUCCUGGAGACAUAAAUACACAUACAAUCAGCCACCUGGUUGCUUUGUUUGUAGAGGGCUGUCAGUCCUGUGAGAAGCACUUUAAGUAACUCUUGCUGAAGGUGAGAGUUAAACAGUAUUUACUUUGGGGAAUUUGCCUUUAUUUAUCUGCAUUAAUACAGAGGUGAAUUUUAAAGGGGCUCUCAGAGAGAAUUCCCCCGAUGCUCAGCUUACUUUACACACCUUUUAAGUCUUUUAAGAUGUGUUUCUCCCCUCCUGCUGACACUUACCCAUAACACAUCUCCCACAAUCUCCGCCGGUUUUCACAAAUCAGCUUCUUUUCCCUCUCCCCCUUUCUUUUCUGUUAUUGUUUUUGUUCUCUCGCCUGCUCCCUUUUUUCAGUCUUGAUCACGAAGUGUUGUUGUCUGUCUCUUAAGUUGCCCGUUUCAUCUCUUUUGUUAUGGCGUCUGUGCCAAUCGUUGUAAUUGGGAGAAAGCUAAGUUAAGUGAGUGAAGGAAAAAGUGUGGGGUAACUUGCCUUGUUGCUCUUCCCCACGUUUUUGUAAAUAAGGCUGUCAGUAUAGAUGAGGCUGUGGUAAUGUGGACGAUCCAAUCCACUCCAAACCCACAGGACUGGAGGCUGAAACAAAAAAAUGGAAGGCAUGUUCAGAAAGGACAGCUUAGAGUUCAGUUACACUUCUGGAAGUUUUUAUGCAUGACUUCUUUGCAUCAGAUCCACCGCCAGCAUCCUUCUUAACUUCACGAGGUGAGGUGAACGAGUUGACACUCAAGAGUUGACCUGUUUAUUGUAGGAAAAUGCAUUUUUGAAGUUAAAAAAUUCUGAACAUUAGUGUAUGUAAGUGUAUGUUUACAGCAAAUCUUUUGUGUCUGGACUUUUCUUGGGGAAAGAAGAUGGCUUUUUGUUUCCUGCUUGCAUUUGAAAGCAUGCUGUUAAUUUUACAUAAACGGUGUAAAAUAAAUUUCCUUGUGUUUUUUUAAAUAUAAACACGAUAUUAAUAGUUUCGACUUUUAUACAUAAAAUGUGGGUUGAAUUUCACUAAGAUGCUUAGGGGUGAAUUAAUUUCAUGACGCUAAUCAGAACGUUAUGGAUAUCGGCUGUUUCAGAGCGAGAGCGACUUUCAUAACAAGUCGAGCCGGUGAUGAUGUGAUUUGCGCAGAGGAAGGGGCCUGUGGUCUGCUGUUGAUCAUUAACACUUUUCCUGUAUGUGUGGCCCCCUCAUCAGUCGGCUAAAAGAUCAUCUCUGUUUAAAUUUGCAUGAUGAUGGUACUGUGACCAGUCAUCGUUAGAUCAACUAACUAGAGAGGCUUAAGGUUGGGCAGAGAAGAUUCAUGAUCCCCCCCUUCCCCGAUCUCCCUCUCUCCAUCGUGGGAGGUCCCCUUUAAAGUGCAAACCUCAGCCCCCCU
rnacentral:lncRNA from 1 species